rnacentral:rRNA from 1 species
AUGACGAGAUUGCCAGACAUUGUGAUCGUCCUUGAUCAGCAAAAAGAGUAUAUAGCUCUUCGGGAAUGUGCCAUUUUGGGGAUUCCUACUAUUUCUUUAGUCGAUACAAAUUGUGACCCGGAUCUCGCGAAUAUAUCGAUUCCAGCCAACGAUGACACUAUGACUUCAAUCUGAUUGAUUCUUAACAAAUUAGUAUUUUCAAUUUGUGAGGGUUGUUCUCUCUAUAUAAGAAAUCGUUGA